rnacentral:lncRNA from 1 species
GGCAGAUGAGUAUAGCCUUCAAUCAGAAAGCAAUAGAAGCUGACUUCUGGGUCUGUUGUGUUUUGCUCAUUAGGAAUGAUGUUCCUGACAUUCAGCGACAUCCACUUGGCCCCUUUUUCUGAUGAACAGCUCUAUGUGGAACACUUCUCCAGAGCCAAUUUUUGGAAACAGGUGGUGAAUGCUUGCAUGAUUUCUGUCAGAAG